AACGAACGCUGGCGGCAUGCCUAACACAUGCAAGUCGAACGAGACCUUCGGGUCUAGUGGCGCACGGGUGCGUAACGCGUGGGAACCUGCCCUUAGGUUCGGAAUAACUCCCCGAAAGGGGUGCUAAUACCGGAUAAUGUCUUCGGCCCAAAGAUUUAUCGCCUUUGGAUGGGCCCGCGUUGGAUUAGCUAGUUGGUAGGGUAAAAGCCUACCAAGGCGACGAUCCAUAGCUGGUCUGAGAGGAUGAUCAGCCACACUGGGACUGAGACACGGCCCAGACUCCUACGGGAGGCAGCAGUGGGGAAUAUUGGACAAUGGGCGAAAGCCUGAUCCAGCAAUGCCGCGUGAGUGAUGAAGGCCUUAGGGUUGUAAAGCUCUUUUACCCGGGAUGAUAAUGACAGUACCGGGAGAAUAAGCGCCGGCUAACUCCGUG
rnacentral:rRNA from 1 species